UACAGAGGUCUCAAGCGUUGUUCGGAUUCAUUGGGCGUAAAGGGUGCGUAGGUGGCGCGCUAAGUCAGGUGUGAAAUUUCGGAGCUUAACUCCGAAACUGCAUUUGAUACUGGCGUGCUUGAGGACUGGAGAGGAGACUGGAAUUCAUGGUGUAGCAGUGAAGUGCGUAGAGAUCAUGAGGAAGACCAGUGGCGAAGGCGGGUCUCUGGACAGUUCCUGACACCGAGGCACGAAGGCCAGGGGAGCAAACGGG
rnacentral:rRNA from 1 species